CAGUAGCCGCGGUAAUACGUAGGGUGCAAGCGUUAAUCGGAAUUACCGGGCGUAAAGCGUGCGCAGGCGGUUUGUUAAGACAGAUGUGAAAUCCCCGGGCUCAACCUGGGAACUGCAUUUGUGACUGGCAAGCUAGAGUCUGGCAGAGGGGGGUGGAAUUCCGCGUGUAGCAGUGAAAUGCGUAGAUAUGCGGAGGAACACCGAUGGCGAAGGCAGCCCCCUGGGCCAACACUGACGCUCAUGCACGAAAGCGUGGGGAGCAAACAGGAUUAGAGACCCCAGUAGUCCCUGUCUCUUAUAC
rnacentral:rRNA from 1 species